rnacentral:rRNA from 1 species
GAUGAACGCUAGCGGCAGGCCUAAUACAUGCAAGUCGAACGAUACUUAGGAGCUUGCUCUUAAGGAAAGUGGCGCACGGGUGCGUAACGCGUAUGCAACCUACCUUAAUCAGGGGGAUAGCCCGAAGAAAUUCGGAUUAACACCGCAUAAAAACACAGGAUAGCAUUAUCCAAUGUUCAAAUAUUUAUAGGAUUAAGAUGGGCAUGCGUGUCAUUAGCUAGUUGGCGGGGUAACGGCCCACCAAGGCGACGAUGACUAGGGGAUCUGAGAGGAUGACCCCCCACACUGGUACUGAGACACGGACCAGACUCCUACGGGAGGCAGCAGUAAGGAAUAUUGGUCAAUGGAGGCAACUCUGAACCAGCCAUGCCGCGUGCAGGAAGACAGCCCUCUGGGUCGUAAACUGCUUUUAUUCGGGAAUAAACCUAUCUACGUGUAGAUAGCUGAAUGUACCGAAGGAAUAAGGAUCGGCUAACUCCGUG